rnacentral:rRNA from 1 species
CGGGUGGCAGCAGUGGGGAAUAUUGGACAAUGGGCGAAAGCCUGAUCCAGCCAUGCCGCGUGUGUGAAGAAGGUCUUCGGAUUGUAAAGCACUUUAAGUUGGGAGGAAGGGCAGUAAGCGAAUACCUUGCUGUUUUGACGUUACCGACAGAAUAAGCACCGGCUAACUCUGUGCCAGCAGCCGCGGUAAUACAGAGGGUGCAAGCGUUAAUCGGAAUUACUGGGCGUAAAGCGCGCGUAGGUGGUUUGUUAAGUUGAAUGUGAAAUCCCCGGGCUCAACCUGGGAACUGCAUCCAAAACUGGCAAGCUAGAGUAGGGCAGAGGGUGGUGGAAUUUCCUGUGUAGCGGUGAAAUGCGUAGAUAUAGGAAGGAACACCAGUGGCGAAGGCGACCACCUGGGCUCAUACUGACACUGAGGUGCGAAAGCGUGGGGAGCAAACAGGAUUAGAUACCCGAGU